rnacentral:lncRNA from 1 species
UGAGGAUAAAAAUACAUUGGACCUGUGCAGUGGAGGAGCAUCGUGGGAUCUUCAAGGUGAGCAUCUUAGAAUCU